ACGGGAGGCAGCAGUGGGGAAUAUUGGACAAUGGGCGAAAGCCUGAUCCAGCGACGCCGCGUGAGUGAAGAAGUAUUUCGGUAUGUAAAGCUCUAUCAGCAGGGAAGAUAAUGACGGUACCUGACUAAGAAGCCCCGGCUAACUACGUGCCAGCAGCCGCGGUAAUACGUAGGGGGCAAGCGUUAUCCGGAUUUACUGGGUGUAAAGGGAGCGUAGACGGUAUGGCAAGUCUGAUGUGAAAACCCAGGGCUCAACCCUGGGACUGCAUUGGAAACUGUCAACCUAGAGUGCAGGAGAGGUAAGUGGAAUUCCUAGUGUAGCGGUGAAAUGCGUAGAUAUUAGGAGGAACACCGGUGGCGAAGGCGGCUUACUGGGCUUUUACUGACGCUGAGACACGAAAGUGUGGGUAGCAAACAGGAUUAGAUACCCUGGUA
rnacentral:rRNA from 1 species